rnacentral:rRNA from 1 species
UACGUAGAAGACUAGUGUUAUUCAUCUUUAGUAGGUUUAAAGGGUACCUAGACGGUAUAAUUAGUCUUUAAUAGGAAACGGUUAUACUAGAGUUAUAUAUGAGGGGGUGAGUAUUUGUGGAGUAGAGUUGAAAUUCUUUGAUACCAUGACGACUGGUAAAGGCGAAAGCAACCUUUUAUCUAAUAACUGACGUUGAGGGACGAAAGGCUCGGGUCGCGAACAGG